CUGUCUAACUGUCAAAUUUAUUAAAACUAAACUGUCAAUGUCAACCUGACAUAACCUUAACCUGUUUGGCUGUUUUUUUUUCCGCACUAAUCAAAACAAAAGCAUGCGUCGUUGUGUUCAACAACAUCGAUCGCACGAAGAAAUCUAAAGUUUACCCGAUUAAACUUACGAAACUCUAAAAUAAUGAGUGAAUCUUACAGGACCAAACAUAACAAUGCAAACCCAACUACACUCUUUGUUGAACUAAAACCCAUGAUAAACCACUGAUCAAACCAUCCACUGUGACAAAACAUUCACAAUCCCUCACUAAUUAUAUACCAAAGUUACUAUUCUACAAUAAGAUAUGACAUACUUGGUGAAUGCUGAUGAUGAUGAUGUUCUAUAUUUGACAACCAAACUCUGAGACUAUAUACUAUGAAGUAAACAUCCUGACUCAGGUAAAGAAGCGGAUUGCAACGACACUCAAAAUAGGAACAACUAAACUACCCACAUAACUCUUAACUUACAGAGAAUAUAUUGACACUAAAUGAGGUCCUAGCCUACUUUAUAUGGUCUAACACUUUAUCAACAACAGUUUACUUGAUCUACAUUAAUUGUUUUCUAAAUUUAUUGUUAUGUCUGACCGCUACCCUUUCAUCACAAAAUAUUUUUUUAUUAUUUUUUCUUUCAAAUGAGAUUAAUGUUAUAUUUUCUUUUCUUUAUUAACUGUAACUCAUUGUAUUUGUUUAGAGAAAUGUCUGAUAACAUAUUCUGCUACUAAUUGGCUCUCUGGAAUUUCAUA